rnacentral:misc_RNA from 1 species
CAGAGUUGGCAAGACUCCCUAAACCAUUGUGAACCUACCUUCUACCGUUGCUUCGGGCGGGCGGGCCCAGCGCCCCCCCCGGCCCCCCGCGGGCGCCCGCCGGAGGAUACCCAAACUCUUGACAUUAGUGGCCUCUCUGAGUAUUCUUUACUGAAUAAGUCA